rnacentral:rRNA from 1 species
UACGGAGGGUGCAAGCGUUAUCCGGAUUCACUGGGUUUAAAGGGUGCGUAGGUGGGUUGGUCAGUCAGUGGUGAAAUCUCCAAGCUUAACUUGGAAACUGCCGUUGAUACUAUCAAUCUUGAAUCUCGUGGAGGUAAGCGGAAUAUGUCAUGUAGCGGUGAAAUGCUUAGAUAUGACAUAGAACACCGAUAGCGAAGGCAGCUUGCUACACGAGUAUUGACACUGAGGCACGAAAGCGUGGGGAUCAAACAGG